rnacentral:rRNA from 1 species
AUUGAACGCUGGCGGCAGGCUUAACACAUGCAAGUCUCACGAGUGGCGGACGGGUGAGUAACGUCUGGGUAACUGCCCGAUGGAGGUGGAUAACUACUGGAAACGGUAGCUAAUACCGCAUACCAUCUGAUGUGCCCAUAUGGGAUUAGCUAGUAGGUGGGGUAAAGGCUCACCUAGGCGACGCUCCCUAGCUGGUCUGAGAGGAUGACCAGCCACACUGGAACUGAGACACGGUCCAGACUCCUACGGGAGGCAGCAGUGGGGAAUAUUGCACAAUGGGCGCAAGCCUGAUGCAGCCAUGCCGCGUGUAUGAAGAAGGCCUUCGGGUUGUAAAGUACUUUCAGCGGGGAGGCGUUACCCGCAGAAGAAGCACCGGCUAACUCCGUGCCAGCCGCCGCGGUAAUAC